UACAGAGGUCUCAAGCGUUGUUCGGAUUCAUUGGGCGUAAAGGGUGCGUAGGCGGCGCGGUAAGUCGGGUGUGAAAUCUCGGGACUUAACUCCGAAACUGCAUUCGAUACUGCCGUGCUUGAGGACUGGAGAGGAGACUGGAAUUUACGGUGUAGCGGUGAAAUGCGUAGAUAUCGUAAGGAAGACCAGUGGCGAAGGCGGGUCUCUGGACAGUUCCUGACGCUGAGGCACGAAGGCCAGGGGGAGCAA
rnacentral:rRNA from 1 species